GAUGAACGCUGGCGGUAUGCCUAACACAUGCAAGUCGUACGAGGGUUUUUAACUCUAGUGGCGGACGGGUGAGUAACACGUGAGAAUUUGCCUUUAGGAGGGGGAUAACAAUCGGAAACGAAUGCUAAUACCCCAUAUGCUUUCGAGUGAAAUGGAUUAUCCGCCUAAAGAGAAGCUCGCGGCUGAUUAGCUUGUUGGUAAGGUAAGAGCUUACCAAGGCGACGAUCAGUAUCUGGUUUGAGAGGACGAUCAGACACACUGGAACUGAGACACGGUCCAGACUCCUACGGGAGGCAGCAGUGGGGAAUUUUCCGCAAUGGGCGAAAGCCUGACGGAGCAAUACCGCGUGAGGGAAGACUGCCUAUGGGUUGUAAACCUCUUUUUUCAGGGAGGAAUAAAAUGACGUGUACCUGAAGAAUAAGCAUCGGCUAACUCCGUG
rnacentral:rRNA from 1 species